rnacentral:tRNA from 1 species
AAUAGCUCAAUGGUAGAGCACUCGGCUGUUAACCGAGGGGUUGUUGGUUCGAGUCCAACUU